CUUAAAUACAAUAAAAUAUUAAAACAGUCAGCUGUUUGAUCAACCAGGAUCAGACAUACACUACCUUUCAAAGGUUUGGGGGUGUCAUGACUUCCUUCAGUUCAUCACUCUCUAGUGAGCCUCUCCAGUGCCAUGUAUGUCUGGAGGUGCUCACUGACCCAAUCACCACUUCAUGUGGACACAACUUCUGUAACAUCUGUAUCGAGGCAUGCUGGGAAAGUGGACAGCUCUAUCUAUGCCCUCUCGAUUCAACUGGAAAGGACACAGGCAGAAAUAAAGCCAGAGCACCAAUGAGAGAAAUAAAGC